UCGCUUCAGCAGCACAUAUGCUGAAAUUGGAAUGACACAGAUGAUUAGCAUGGCCCCUGCACAAGGGUAACAUGCAAAUUCAUGAAGUGUUCCACGUUAAA
ensembl:snRNA U6 U6 spliceosomal RNA